CAGCAGUCGCCGCGGUAAUACGGAGGGGGCUAGCGUUGUUCGGAAUUACUGGGCGUAAAGCGCACGUAGGCGGCUUGGUAAGUUAGAGGUGAAAGCCUGGAGCUCAACUCCAGAAUUGCCUUUAAGACUGCCGAGCUAGCAGGUGAGAGAGGUAAGUGGAAUUCCGAGUGUAGAGGUGAAAUUCGUAGAUAUUCGGAAGAACACCAGUGGCGAAGGCGGCUUACUGGCUCAUACUAGACGCUGAGGUGCGAAAGCGUGGGGAGCAAACAGGAUUAGAGACCCCCGUAGUCCCUGUCUCUUAUAC
rnacentral:rRNA from 1 species